CAGCAGCCGCGGGAAUACGUAGGUGGCAAGCGUUGUCCGGAAUUAUUGGGCGUAAAGGGCUCGCAGGCGGUUUCUUAAGUCUGAUGUGAAAGCCCCCGGCUCAACCGGGGAGGGUCAUUGGAAACUGGGAAACUUGAGUGCAGAAGAGGAGAGUGGAGUUCCACGUGUAGCGGUGAAAUGCGUAGAGAUGUGGAGGAACACCAGUGGCGAAGGCGACUCUCUGGUCUGUAACUGACGCUGAGGAGCGAAAGCGUGGGGAGCGAACAGGAUUAGAUACCCCUGUAGUCCCUGUCUCUUAUAA
rnacentral:rRNA from 1 species